UGAUGAGCCAGCCGUGUGGCGUGGCAGCAGUGUGCUUCCCUGUCGACUGUUCGCUGCAAGUGCUGAGGCCCACUUGAGCAGCAGAAAAACACAAUGGGACCCGGGGAGAAGCUCUGAUCUGAGUGGAGAUCCUUUUGUGUGCUGUACUCACUGAGGCAGGCAAUUCUACACCUGGACGGGGUCCUCUGAGACCACGCAGCCCAGCCUUGGUUCCCAGAUCAUGGAGCAGGAGGAGACAUCAGAAGCACAUCUGCUCUACCCCUCUGCCUUCAGGAAACACGUUUUGCUUCCCUUCUCAUUGGCGGCGUAACCAUGAGCAAGUCACAAUUUUGAGCCUCAGGAUUUUCAUAUGAUUAAAGUGGAUAAAAUAUCAAUCCAGAAUCAUUUUGUUCAGUGGAUAGAAGAAACAGCAGUAACAACCUCUCCGAUUAUAGUGAGUGGCUGGCUCCAUGAACCACUGUUUGUGCAUUUAAAUCACAAAAAUCUCAAUUUAGCUCUAUUUGGACUGGUUCUCCAUUGGGAGGGAUAGAACUCUGUUAGGCCAAUGGAGUGGUGACUUUCCCACCACCCCAUCAAUCAUCAAGGUGGAACUGACAAAGGACAGCGACUCAGCUUCCAUCGCAGCAGGAACUAGAGAUUCUUGGCUUAGGGGAGCCAGGUGCCUCACUUUUCUGGGCUUGUUGCCACCAACUGAGUGGAUUUCAAAUCUUGAGCUGCCUUUCAGGAUAUCCAUAUAGCAUCUCAGGAUGCCUGAGAGACCCACGCUGUUAUACAUCAGAAGGCGGACGGACUUCUCUCUGGGAGGAGGUGGAGAUAGGUGAAAACUCUCUGACCUCGACACCCGAACAGCCUAGUACCUGCAAGCAGCUUUCUUCCAGCGGACGCCUCCCAGAACAUCACCACACACCAAGGGCAGGAGGGAGCAUGCACCAGAGGAGCGACAAUGGAAACAGGCACAGUUACUCAAGCCAAUGGCUCCAGAGGAAGGAAUGGAAGAUUGGGAGUAGACACUUGCGGCAGCAUAGUAGGGUGCUUCCUCAAGAGGAUCUGCCAUCAUCCCAACCUACAGAGGAUGUCUACAGAGCUCUCCAAGGAUGGUGAUGCUCUCAUCGCCAAAUAUUGCUCCAUGCUUCUGUGAAAGAGUGUCCUCUGAGCCCUCCCAGGAGAUGGGGGCGUCAGUCACACAUUAGAAAUCCACUCCAACUUUCCUGUUUCCCUAAGCCUUUAGAUUUACUCCUCUAUUAUAGCAAGGAAAUUGCACAUUUCAACUUCAUUUAAUGUAGACCAAUGUGACAUCCAGGUUUUAGGCAGUUAUGUGAGCAAAUUGUGGGGGCCUUUCCCGGUUGCUCAGGCUAAUAUACGGAAUUGAGAAUCCCUCGUUAGUGCACCCAUAUUGAUACAUUUGUCCAUUCCAAUCUUUUUUUCCUUCCAUCCUGGACAAAUAUACUUAUAUUCCUUUUCUGCAU
ensembl:lncRNA